GACGGGAAUAACCUCGGGAAACUGAGAAUAAUACCCGAUAGAACAUUAUGCCUGGAAUGGUUUAUGUUUCAAAUGAUUUAUCGCCAUAGGAUGGGACUGCGGCCUACCAGUUUGUUGGUGAGGUAAUGGCCCACCAAGACUAUUACAGGUACGGGCUCUGAGAGGAGUAGCCCGGAGAUGGGUACUGAGACACGGACCCAGGCCCUAUGGGGCGCAGCAGGCGAGAAAACUUUGCAAUGUGCGAAAGCACGACAAGGUUAAUCCGAGUGGUUUCUGCUAAAGAAACCUUUUGCCAGUCCUAGAAACACUGGUGAAUAAGGGGUGGGCAAGUUCUGGUGUCAGCCGCCGCGGUAAAACCAGCACCUCAAGUGGUCAGGAUGAUUAUUGGGCCUAAAGCAUCCGUAGCUCGUUUUGUAAGUUUUCGGUUAAAUCCAUGCGCUCAACGUAUGGGCUGCCGGGAAUACUGUAUAACUAGGAAGUGGGAGAGGUAGACGGUACUCGGUAGGAAGGGGUAAAAUCCUUUGAUCUAUUGAUGACCACCUGUGGCGAAGGCGGUCUACCAGAACACGUUCGACGGUGAGGGAUGAAAGCUGGGGGAGCAAACCGGAUUAGAUACCCGGGUAGUCCCAGCUGUAAACUAUGCAAACUCAGUGAUGCAUUGGCUUGUGGCCAAUGCAGUGCUGCAGGGAAGCCGUUAAGUUUGCCGCCUGGGAAGUACGUACGCAAGUAUGAAACUUAAAGGAAUUGGCGGGGGAGCACCACAAGGGGUGAAGCCUGCGGUUC
rnacentral:rRNA from 1 species